UAAAACAAAGGUUAUGAGCUUAAAACACUGUCAACCUAAAAGUGUGUGCUUGAUAGUCCAGGUUAGAAUAGGGUGUGACUUGAGAUACGCAUUUGUGUCCAUAUUUGCUGGAUUGUUUAAAUGCAGAUAAAGUAGGGGCUUGAAUUGGUACCUCUGUUAUGAUUGAAAGAGUCUUUAUGUAUUUCAUGCUUAAUGGUAUCAGUGUAAGGUUAAUCUGAUUUUAGCGAAGAAACCCUAAUUUCAGUAUUAAAGCAUAAGUCUGUCUUGACAAAGCAUAAG